rnacentral:rRNA from 1 species
AGGACGAACGCUGGCGGCGUGCUUAACACAUGCAAGUCGAGCGGAAAGGCCCUUCGGGGUACUCGAGCGGCGAACGGGUGAGUAACACGUGAGCAACCUGCCCUUAGCUCUGGGAUAGCUCCGGGAAACCGGAAUUAAUACCGGAUAUGACCUAGGCCGACAUCGGCCGUGGUGGAAAGUUUUUCGGCUAGGGAUGGACUCGCGGCCUAUCAGCUAGUUGGUGGGGUAAUGGCCUACCAAGGCGACGACGGGUAGCCGGCCUGAGAGGGCGACCGGCCACACUGGGACUGAGACACGGCCCAGACUCCUACGGGAGGCAGCAGUGGGAAUCUUGCGCAAUGGGCGAAAGCCUGACGCAGCGACGCCGCGUGGGGGAUGAAGGCCUUCGGGUUGUAAACCCUUUCAGCAGGGACGAAGCGAAAGUGACGGUACCUGCAGAAGAAGCGCCGGCUAACUACGUGCCAGCAGCCGC